rnacentral:rRNA from 1 species
AUGCGGGCGUCGCACAUCCUGAUCAAGCACGAGGGGUCCCGGCGCAAGGCCUCGUGGCGGGACCCCGACGGCGUCGCCAUCUCCGCCACCACCCGCGACGACGCCGCCGACCUCGCCCGCGCCCUCCGCGACCAGAUCGCCGCCGGGGAGCUCCAGUUCGACGCCGCCGCCCGCGACAACUCCGACUGCAACUCCGCCAAGCGCGGCGGCGACCUCGGUCCAUUCGAGAAGGGCAAGAUGCAGAAGCCUUUCGAGAAGGCGGUGAUUGCUCUGAAGGUGGGGGACAUGAGCGACGUGGUUGAUACUGAGAGCGGGGUGCACAUCAUCUUGAGGACCGGGUGA